rnacentral:rRNA from 1 species
GAUGAACGCAAGCGGCAGGCCUAACACAUGCAAGUCGAGGGGUAGAAGGAGCUUGCUCCUUUGAGACCGGCGCACGGGUGCGUAACGCGUAUGCAAUCUACCUUUUACAGAGGGAUAGCCCAGAGAAAUUUGGAUUAAUACCUCAUAGUAUAUAUCAUUCGCAUGUUUGGUAUAUUAAAGUUCCAACGGUAAAAGAUGAGCAUGCGUCCCAUUAGUUAGUUGGUAAGGUAACGGCUUACCAAGACGAUGAUGGGUAGGGGUCCUGAGAGGGAGAUCCCCCACACUGGUACUGAGACACGGACCAGACUCCUACGGGAGGCAGCAGUGAGGAAUAUUGGUCAAUGGACGCAAGUCUGAACCAGCCACGCCGCGUGCAGGAAGACGGUCCUAUGGAUUGUAAACUGCUUUUGUACGGGAAGAAACACUCCUACGUGUAGGAGCCUGACGGUACCGUAAGAAUAAGGAUCGGCUAACUCCGUGCCAGCCGCCGCAGUAA